AUGUUUCCAGUGCAGGCCCCGGUGCAGAUGUGCGGUAUUUCCCCUCUCGGAAGCUGCCAUCUGAGGCACUCCCACCAGCAGCCCCGCACGCUGCCUCGGCCUUCUGCAGCGCUCCGCCUCAGCCCGCUCACCCAGCACAGGGUAUCUCCUCACAUCUCCUUGUCCUCUCUGGAAGAUGGAAGUGUGGGAGACUGUGUGGGAGGAGGAGGGAUUUCCAGUGCGUGUUGCUUCAUCGGACUGAGGGAUGUGUUCCUCGGGGGCCUGCAGGGACCGCAGUCUCCUGAGAACAUUUUUUUCUGAGUGAUUCCAGCUUCCAGACAUUUGCCAUGAUAAGGGUUUCGAUCCUUUCCCAUAUUUGCCCUGAGUCAUGAGUGGAUAUGUGUGAUGCCUGCAAGUAAAACUGGUGAGUCGCCAAAGCCAUGUUUGCAGUAACUCUAACUCUUUCUUACAGUCUCUUUCCCUCACUCUUCUUUUCUUUUUGAUAUGGUGGGGAUUUGGGGUUCCUUUUUUUGUAAUGUCUGUGUUCAUAAACAAGUCACCACUAUUUUGUACCUCUCGAAUAAACACGUUAAUUGCAUUGAAAUAUCCA
rnacentral:lncRNA from 1 species